AGUUGGUCUUCUGAUAACUCUUAUUAAAGUCGCCAAUUCACUCCUCGUAAUGAAGACGUGGUCUUAUGAUUUAUAUCUCUUUAUAAUAAUAAAAAAAAAAAAAACUUGCUUUCUCUUGCCUUUUCUUCUACUGGACUGCGAGCCUUGUCAUUCUAUCAUACAUUAAUUUAUGGCCUUUCAUCAUUCCUCGUAUCUACUCAUAAUGUUUUACUUAUCCUUCCACCAAUAUCUUACUAACAUUAUCAUCUCUUACCUUAUUCUGGAGAACUCUAGCGAGACAUCCUUACGCUUCUAGCUCUCGUUGCUACAUCCGACUUUAUUCUUUGGUCGCUUAAUAUUUCUUCUUCACUGUAAACAUAAACCACUCUGAGGUGAAUACUUAUCCCAUAUACAAGGAUUUAAAUACUUAAACUUCAAAUCUUCUAAACACACGAGAAGUCGUAUCUGAUUAUUCAAUUCUAGGGCACACAACCUAUGUGCCUUAUAAAGAGGAACUAUCGGCAUGUUUGUAGUACCAUUCAGUAAUGUCAUCUAGUUCUAACAAUUUUUCCCUUGCCAUGGAUUUCUCUAUCCCUCAGUAGAUCUUGAAAUUCAAUUCUUUUUCCUCGGCGAUGUCUGUUGGUACCUACAAUUUGUAAGAUGCAAUGGAGACUACUAACUGUACCUCUAUUACUGUUGAAAAUCCAAUCAUGACGCUUGUGUUCCUCUGUCUGAACUCUAACUACUUUACAAUCUUCUCUACUUAGAUACCUCGUACCUUCUUCACCUUAACUCUUUUACCUUUUGAAACUUGCAAUUUUACCUCCUGGUGCUCUCAUAGUCUUUUACCUAUACGAGUGACAUAGAUAUUUCGCCUUAAGGCUCUUUGCAUAACUUGCACACCUGGUAUACACAUGAUCUGAUAUGGCCACACAUUUGCUUAUCACAACACUAGUUAAAAUCGAGCCCCUAUGACUCUGCUCUAUUGCAUGAUCUGGAGUAAGAAAGAAGGGUAUCAAUCCUAAAUGCCUUGUAGCUUCUUGUUUAUAGAAUGUGGUGCAUAACACACUUAUAAAUAAGAUUCUACUAGACAAUACUUGUAGACUCCCUAGGACAGAUCUGCUCUGAUACUAAGUUUGUCACCCCCCCCCCCCCAACCUGGAGAGGCGUGGCUGGCAUUUGGUGCCUUACUUGACCCUGAGUGUACAAUUCUAUAACUCAUAAACUCUGGAUACAAACAAUCUAUCCAGGCCGACAAGGCCAAUCCAUAAAACAAUCAACAUCAUCUUAGGCCGACAAGGCUAUAUGCAGAAUGAUUUGUAAAUGACAAUUUUCUCAACUGACAUGGGACAACCUCUAAAUAUUAUAUAUACAGGCCGACAAGGCCACCGUUAGCAUCUACAAACAAAGAAACCCGAAAUAAAUCUAUACAAGGGCCGACAAGGCCACCAUGCUGGGAAACUAAACAUACAGGACAUAUUGACAAGCCUCUAGGGAUAACAUAACUAUAUUGUGGCCGGCAUAGGGCCCCGGCCUACCCAUCAUGUUUAUAUAUACAAUAGAACUUCAAAACUCUGGAGCUGGUAACACCAGAUGAAAUGGAGCUUAAAAAUUAAGCUGGAACUCGGCAAUGUUUACUUAGGAGGCCUGUCUACAUGUCUGCCAAGACCUGCAAGCAUAAAAUGCAGCGCCCUCGACAAAAGGGAUGUUAGUAUGAAAUAAUGCACCGAGUAUAUAAGAUAACCGAAUAACUUAAAUUGAAACUGAACGGAUAUGCAUAAUAUACUGAAUGAAAUCUGAGGAGUCAAUGAUAAUCUGGGGCAUACUUACCUAUCUCUGACUCAUAUCAUAUAAGUAAUAAUAUAAUGAACUACUCGGCCUCAUAUAGGGCUCGGCAUGUCUCUGUAUUGCCCCGUAGGUAAUGGCACGCAUGUGUAUAACUCGGUAGGCAUAGCACACAUAUAUAUAGUCCCGAAGGCAAAGCGCACAUCUGUAUAUCUCUGAAGACACAUUAUAAUAUUAUCUAGCCUCGAAGGCAAAUAGUAAUACUGUAAAUGACAUAAGUAUGCUCUCUACUUCUCCACCAAAAUGGAAAAUUACUAAACUUGGAAGGAAUUCUCGGUAAGGGAAACUACGUCAUAAAGAAGAUCAAAUACAUAAACAUGAGAUUUCUGUGAAGGACACUCCUUAUGUACGUUUAUACGAAACUUAGUUAGUUGUGGAUUCAUUCCAACAAAGAAAGGGAAAUAGCCUUUAUAUACCUUAACACAAAGCUCGUACUAUUGUCGGGAAAAAUUUCCUCUACGCGUCAAUCUACAAUAAAUAAUAGUAGCACUAAAGUCAAGCUACGAAUGAUACAACACUUAUAUAUCGAGCAACAAGCUCAAUGUUACACCUCGAAAAUGUUCACAUCGUAAGUAAGCUAAUGUAAGCCCGGAGAGGUUACGGAACAUUUAUAAGGUUAAGGAAGACUUUUAACAAGUGGUAAUCAAGCGUCUAAAGGUUCCGGGAUCAAGCGAAUCAAAGGAAUUAAGUUUGUCGAAACUUUGGGAAAACAUGGCAGAAUUCUGGACAGGAAAUUUUGGUCCAACUUGAGACAGGUAUAUUUCCUAGAAUAGUAGGAGUUAUGGAAUGUAUAACCUAUGUAAAUUGAAGUUCAGUAAGUCUUCUUUCAAUGCAAUUGACAUAUCACAAAUCUGAGAAGUAUGGGAUAAAGUACGGCCCGUACAAAAAUGUACGUCCAGUACAUAUUGGCCGUACUAUACCAGAAUUUUCUAGAGAGUUGAAUUUUGGCCUUCCAAGUACGGGCUGAAAGUACUGGACGUACAUUGAAGUACGGCCCGUAUAUUUAGGCUGUACUUUAUGUCGGUGGAAACUAUUUCUUGGCCUAUAAAUAGAUUUCCCAUGACUUCGACCUCAAUUGCUCACCAAAAUAGAACCUUAGUGACCCUCUAAGCUCUCUCCAUCAUUCAUAAACAUCCCAAAUAAUUUCAAGAGAAGAUCAAGCUCUAAAUCCUUAACUAGUUCAUAAAAAGUGAUAUUUCUUGGUUACACUUGGAGUUGAGAUGAAUUUGGUCUUGAAGUAAGUUGUGUGUGGCUAAAGUUCUUCAAGUAUAAGGUAUGUUUUUCAUCUUGUGUCUUAUCCUGAGUUGAUUUGAAGGUUAAACAAGUCUUAUAAGUGAAAGGAGUUAUGAAGAAAAAGUCAUAAAAUGUUGUGUUGUAGUCGUUGACUAUGGACUGAAUUUGGAAGGUAGUUUUGGAUUGAUUUGAGUUUAGUAUGAAUGUAAUCUCUUGGCUAUGAUGUUUUUGAUGUUUCUAUUGAUGUUUGGGAGUUGAUUUGGAGAUGGCUGGAAGUAAUUAAUAUAAGGGAAAUGCUACCCAAAUUUCGUUAGCUCACCUAAUACUUUAGUUUGAUCUUGUAAGCAUUUCAAUGACUUAACCAUAGUAUGAAUCAUCUUGAAUGUAGAUUUGCAAGCUUGGGAGGAUAGAUGUUGAGUGGUUAAAUAGACGACGAGGAAAGCAUGCAUGUCAUCCGCCUUAAGAGGCAUCCAGAUGUACAGGUAGACUGGGAGACGGUUCAGAUCCUUAGGCGGCCUUCUCAAAGACUUGUCUAGGAGCACUCCACUUGUUCCGGAGUUGCAGUUCAGCUUGGUAAACAGGUAGACGCGUCUGAUCUCUAGGGGCUCCAUCAGCGACACCUUGGAAGAGCUCCAGUUGUUCCGGAGCUACAGCUUAUUGAUUGAGGUGCUAUUCGAUUCAAGUGCGUUGUUGUUGGCGAGCACUUAACGAAAGGUUCUGGUUCAGCAUGCUUUGCAUCCAAGUCACUAUUUGAGAUAUGCUCCAUGGUGGUUUCAUUUUACCUUGAAUGGCUUGGACUAAUGGCAAGGAAUCACCUUCUAAUAUGAUGUUCUCCCUUCUCAUGUUUAAACACCAUUCGACACCAUGUUGUAAUGCCUUUGCCUCAGCUCAAUUGCCGGAUAACCAAGUUAAUGUUAUAAACAUGAAUUGCUUUGCCUUUAUGAUUUUUGAUGACACCACCUCCCCCACAAUCAUCCCCUAUGCAACUUCCAUCACUAUUAAUCUUGAUGAAACUAGGUGUAGGAGGGUACUAUUUGAUAGUCUUAAUAGUCAAUUUAGAGUAGUUGUUAUUUAGUUUGUUGCAGAAAACAUACCAGGCAAUUUUUGGUUUCAGCAGAGGAAAUUGGAUGUUGGUGAUUUGAAAAAUAUGUGAUGUGAUGUUUUUAA